UCAAAAAUCUUGCUAGCCCCUGGGCUAUUCAAAAACUAAUCACCACACCUAACGUCAUAUUUUUGCUAUCCCUACAACUUUGCUACCAUUCAGAACACAGCCAAACGUGUAAAUUACAAAUAAAACAAUUAAAAUUUAAAAAAGGAACAAAAUGUGAAAAAAAUAAAAUCCAAACCAACCUUCUGACGAUCUAGAAGGAUUUGGAUACAACUCUGGAGUUGGACCAUUCCAUCAGCUGGACAAGGUUAUGUCCAAACACACUAUUAUGUCAAUUGGGUUGGUUAGAUUUUAAAGUUUUUUUUAACUUUUUGUUUUUAUUUUUUCACAUUUUUAAUGUUUAAAUAUAUAAUUUAUACGUUUGUUGUCACAAAUCUUUUAAUUUGUUGGCUCUUACAUGUGUCAAUGUAAAUGAAAACACGUGCGUGAAGUUACCAUCGAUAACUCGCAAGACGGCAGUAAUACAGGGUCACACUAACACAAAAAAAUUCAGCAUGUACGGAAAUUAUCAACCGUUUUUAACUACAGCCGUUAGAAUAUUAAUCUGUGAAUAAACAAUUUCCAUUCUGGAGGACGUAUUGUAAAUGGACUUCGGUCAAUAAACUGCAUACACCAAAUUAAAGCAGA